GGAUGUGAGAGCAACAUCGUGUGGUAUCUGUCACUUCGCUGAUUGUCAGGGUUAACUCAGCGGAUCUGGUGGGCUAGUCAGGUGUCCCCUUUCUACCUCACUGUCUCAUGUACAUCCCUCUCAAAGCUGUGUACUCAAUGUAUGAAGAUGACCUUCCCUGAGGGAGGAGGCUAGUUCUUCCAUCUCUAAGGGUCUAGGAGUAGCUACUAGCCCCUUCUAGAACCUCUAAGACAAGCUCUGGAGGUCCAUUUGUAGGAGAGUGUAGGAGAGUCAAGCUUCCAAAACUCCAGACACAUCCAAAUGAGGAGUUACAUGUGGCAGGCUGUCUUUCUUU
rnacentral:snRNA from 1 species